UCCAAAGUACCUCUGCCAGUGAUUAUCAAGCCAUUGAUCUUCUCAAACAAUAUCCAUUCAUUAGAGACGUAAUUGCUCAGGUCGAUGUCUCCUUUUAAGGUCGCAUCGAUUUGAACGACGAUAGGACUUGUCGAGGCGCAUGGCCCUGCAAACACUAUUUGACUGAUCAAAAAAGUACCCCCAGGAAUAACUACUCUUGCAGCUCCCUUGGAGUGGCAUGCUGCAACCCAAGUCUUCAUAAAACUCUGCAAAAACCAGCCAACAAAACAUCAGGUUUAGCACCAAAACUGAGAACAUUAAACACGGUCUCCUUCCGAUGUCUAAUAUCCUUCCCGAAAUUGAUCUUUUGAAAGAGGUCAGGCGGGUUCGUUCCAACGAAGAAUUUGGCGUUAACCGCAACCAAUGCUACCAACAAUAGCCAGGCAAGAAGAGUGGCUUGUUUGAAAGCAGAUUUCAUUGAAACUUAUGAAAAAAGGUAUUGGGUAUGUUUAUUUUAGGAUCGAACAGCCUCCAAGGGGAGGCCAGAGAAGUAAAAGGAAAAGCUUGGUUUCUUCCCUCUGUGCUUCGUUAUUUUAUAGCAGUUUUGAAAGGGUGUCCGUGGUUGUCUUGUUUGUUGACAUGAAAAGGCCUAAAAAUAGUAGAGUUCCUUUAAUAUAGGAGGCAUUACCAACAUUUUGUUCGUUCUUAGCCCAAUUUGUCGCCGUUGAGAGAAGAACUCGGUGCCCAUUUCCAUGCCUCACCAGGUAUCGAAAACUACGUGUAUAUAUAGCUUGGUGACUCAAAUCUGCCCGAAAAAGGUACUUUUAAACUGUAUUUUAACCCUUUUUUAAGUUUGUUUGGAACUACGAUUGUUUCGUUGUUUGAGUUCUGAAUUUUGGUUCGAUCUAAAUGAUAUUGUCUGUAUGAUUUGGGUUA